rnacentral:rRNA from 1 species
AUGUGGAACGAUGAGCUGCAGGUUUCUAUAUAUAGUGCUUCCUUUCAUGCUAUUUUAGCUAAUGUUAUUCAUAGGGCCUCGGGUAUUGAGUUUGGUUUAGUUUGCAUCUAUGGUGAUCCAUACCACCGUCAAACUAAGGCUAUUUGGGACCAGGUUGCUAAUUUUGUGUAUGAUAACUUAGGCAAGCCUAUGUUAUGUAUGGGUGACUUGAAUGAUAUCAUGUAUGAUAUUGAUAAGUGUAAUGCUAAUGUUAAUUUUUGCCGUAUGUCUGCUUUUCGUGCUUUGAUAAAAAAUUGUGGGUUCUUUGACAUUGGUUAUAGUGGGCCGGCUUACACUUGGCGCAAUAAGCAGCACAUGGUUAAUCCUAUCUAUCAACGUUUGGAUUGUUGUUUAGUCAAUCCGGAUUGGUGUACUAUUUACCCUAAUACGAAAGUGCCAAAUUUACCUAUCAUUUUAAGCGAUCAUGCGCCUAUUCUGAUUUCCACAGAGGGUCAGUUUUGUAAACCUAAGCAAUCUUUCAAAUUUGAAAAUUGGUGGUUGCUAGAAAAAGAUUUCCAUGAUCAUGCUAAGGCAGCCUGGAAUAGUACCAGGUCAGCCUCUUUUUCUGCCAGGACCUCUUCUCUUGCAGGUUCAUUAAAGAGAUGGUGCAGGAAGAAAAAACCUAUCCAGCAGGAGUUAAAAGACAUUGAGGGACAAAUCAAUUAG